CGUGCAUAAGAGAUAAGGAAGUAUUUAUAGGCAAUACAAAUUAGAAUCCUAAUAGGAUUAGGAAACUUCAAAACUUCCUAAUCUGUCCCAUACGUUGUUUCUCUAUUUUGACCACUUUUGAGAUCGAAUCAGCCAAUGCCUAUUAGAUACAAAAUUGUAGCCCUUUAAAUCUUCUUUCCAACGCGUCAAAAAUCAGCUCAAUCAGAUAUCGGA
rnacentral:lncRNA from 1 species